UACGGAGGGUGCAAGCGUUAUCCGGAUUCACUGGGUUUAAAGGGGGCGUAGGUGGGUUGGUAAGUCAGUGGUGAAAUCUCCGUGCUUAACAUGGAAACUGCCAUUGAUACUACUAGUCUUGAAUCUUCCGGAGGUCAGCGGAAUAUGUCAUGUAGCGGUGAAAUGCUUAGAUAUGACAUAGAACACCAAUUGCGAAGGCAGCUGACUACAGGGGCAUUGACACUGAGGCACGAAAGCGUGGGGAUCAAACAGG
rnacentral:rRNA from 1 species